rnacentral:lncRNA from 1 species
AUACUUCUAGAGUUGUUUGCCCAAAAUUAACAGUACAAUUAAAGCGCAUAUUGCAAAAGCCAGGUUCAGUCCAAUGAGAAGCUAAAUCAAAAUUCCCGCCAAGUAAUUAGCAGAAUCCAUAACCAAAUUCCUAAUUGACAACACUAGUAUUGCUGCAACAAGCCAACAUUACAAUCAAUAUAGGACAAACCAAGUUCAAGUAGAUACAAUAAACCAAUUGAAGUGCUACUUCUGUAAAGCAAAUAAAUGCCAUGUGCUAGUAACAGCACAAUAGUUUCUUACCCGUCAAGUGCACCAAUCCAAAUAUAGCAUACCAAAACAUGAAACACUGCCACGUAUGCAAGUAUAAACAGGUAUAAAACUACCAUAAACAAGUAUAAACUGAUAAGGUGAUGUGAUCAGCACAUUGGAAACUCUCUUUAUAAUAAAGCAGCAGCAGUGGAUCAAGGCCUAGUCAAACCAACGCACAUUAGUUGGGCUUUCUGGUAGUUAGUUAUAGUGCUUAGCACCACUUGUUACUUUAAACUCUACAUAAACCCUUGAGUGGUUCGUGAAUGAUGGGAGAGAAAGUUCUUAGAUUAAAAUUUCUUUAUAAACUAGAUUCUAAAAACUACCAUAACUUCACAGUUCAUGUACCGAUGAACACACAAUUUUCUU